rnacentral:tRNA from 1 species
GCCAGUGUGUUCAAUGGUUAGAGCGUUGGCCCAUGCACCCAAGGGUCACAGGUUCGAUUCCUGGUCAAGGGCA